GACGAACGCUGGCGGCGUGCUUAACACAUGCAAGUCGAACGGAAAGGCCCUGCUUUUGUGGGGUGCUCGAGUGGCGAACGGGUGAGUAACACGUGAGUAACCUGCCCUUGACUUUGGGAUAACUUCAGGAAACUGGGGCUAAUACCGGAUAGGAGCUCCUGCUGCAUGGUGGGGGUUGGAAAGUUUCGGCGGUUGGGGAUGGACUCGCGGCUUAUCAGCUUGUUGGUGGGGUAGUGGCUUACCAAGGCUUUGACGGGUAGCCGGCCUGAGAGGGUGACCGGCGACAUUGGGACUGAGAUACGGCCCAGACGCCUACGGGAGGCAGCAGUGGGGAAUAUUGCACAAUGGGCGGAAGCCUGAUGCAGCAACGCCGCGUGCGGGAUGACGGCCUUCGGGUUGUAAACCGCCUUCGCCUGUGACGAAGCGUGAGUGACGGUAAUGGGUAAAGAAGCACCGGCUAACUACGUG
rnacentral:rRNA from 1 species